CAACACAUCACACCGUCGCCCCAUCACACCGUCGCCCCAUCACACCACACGCUACACUGUCGCCUAACACCAUCGCCACUGCUCCAGCCCUUCUUAUCGUCGCCACUGUUGCCGCCCACUUCGAGGUCGUCUUCGCCAGCCGCCGCAACAGUCAGCCGUCGCCCCUUUCAACUUCGUAUUCGCCAGCUGCCCCAAGCCGUCGCGUUGCGUCGCCGCAAAAGCUUCACCGGACAUCGCCUCGCCGCACCUGGUCGCCGGAAGUCACCUCGCCGCACACUGCGAUAUAUUAGGUAGUCUACUUGCAUACUUGUGGAACUUUAUCAGGAAAAAUGUCGGCAUAUGAAAAUGUAGUUGUUGGAAAGUUGAAGCUAAAGGGCAAGGCUCUAGAUGUGAAGUCUGGAGGUGCCAAAAAGAAGAAGCACAAGAAGCUGCGUGAUCGUGAUCAUGUGUUCCGAGUCACAACAGCGCAAUGGAUACAAAGAAGAUGAAGAUGGAAACUGAAGAUUAUUAUAUCAUUUGCUUAUAAAGAUAUCAAACUGACCAAUAUUGAAGUUGCUUUCCAAGCUGUGGGAGCAACAACAGAUUGUGGAAGCUGAAAUCAUGAAGUGUAACAAGGCUAUUGAGACCGUGUUACAUGGUGGUAAAAGUGAUUUGUCAAGCAUUGAACAUAUGAUAGAAGAUCCUUCUGAUGCUUAUCUGGAAAUCGAAGAAAUUCAACAGAGCACUAGUCUUACUGUGGAACCCCAAUGCAAGGUACUGAUUAGAUGAUCGUGAGCGUGCUAGAAGGAGCUACGGUUCCUGGCUUAUAUAGUAUUAGUUUAGUCUAGUCGGCCUGUGAGCCUGGCCUGUAUUCGGAUAGUGAUUAUGGAUUGUACUUUGCUUAGAUAGUUAGCCUGUGCAUCUAAGUUCUCUAGCUUAGAUGUGGCAUAACACCCCAACUCUAAUGUUUAGCUUCCGCUCUAUUU